rnacentral:rRNA from 1 species
UACGGAGGAUCCGAGCGUUAUCCGGAUUUAUUGGGUUUAAAGGGUGCGCAGGCGGGAGAUUAAGUCGGCGGUGAAAUUUUGCAGCUCAACUGUAAAAGUGCCUUCGAAACUGGUUUUCUUGAGUGUAGAUGAAGUAGGCGGAAUUUGUGGUGUAGCGGUGAAAUGCAUAGAUAUCACGAGGAACUCCGAUUGCGCAGGCAGCUUACUAAGCUACAACUGACGCUCAUGCACGAAGGCGUGGGGAUCAAAC